rnacentral:lncRNA from 1 species
UACGCAAAAGUUACAGAAUUUAGAAGACGGGAGCCGGGAUUACGCCCCGCGUAAUAUAGGAGUACGCCCAGCGUACUAGACCCGGAGUCGAGUCCCAUCGGCUGCACCUCUACGCUUAGCUAGACCGGAGUCGUAAGCCAUGACGCAUUGUUACGCCCCGCGUAACCGAAGUACGCCCAGCGUACUCCGGUAGUACGUCCCACGUACGAGGAGUUUCCAGCCUAUAAAUAGAGAGGUUGAGCCUCGGNNNNNNNNNNNNNNNNNNNNNNNNNNNNNNNNNNNNNNNNNNNNNNNNNNNNNNNNNNNNNNNNNNNNNNNNNNNNNNNNNNNNNNNNNNNNNNNNNNNNACCUGUCCACACAAAUCAAAGAAGCCCAGAUAGAAGCCUUAACAUUGGUAAAUGUGGCGGGGGAAGCCUUAAGGGUAAUGGAUAAGAAGUUUGAGGUCAAGAAUGAUGGAGUUCAUUACUUCAUGGAUCGGAUCUGGACGCCGAAGUUUGGCGGAUUCUGAGAAGUUGUCAUGAACGAAGCCCAUAAAACACGAUACUCCAUACACCCCGUCUCCAAUAAGAUGUAUCUCGACCUCAAGAAGUCGUAUUGGUGGCCGAACAUGAAGGCCGAAAUUGCUACCUACGUGAGUAAAUGUCUGACGUGCGCCAAGGUCAAAGUAGAAUACCAAAAGCCCUCAGGAUUGUUGCAACAACCAGAAAUACCAGAAUGGAAGUGGGAACGUAUAACCAUGGAUUUCAUAACCAAACUACCCAGAACGGCAAACGGACUCGACACUAUCUGGGUGAUUGUCGACAGGUUAACUAAAUCAGCGCACUUCCUACCGAUCAAAGAGACGGAUAAAUUAGAGAAGCUAACUAGGACAUACCUCAGAGAAAUUGUACGACUACAUGGUGUGCCCAUAUCCAUUAUCUCGGACCGAGAUAGUAGGUUCACCUCAAGGUUCUGGCAGUCGCUACAAAAAGCUUUGGGGACAAGGCUAGACAUGAGUACCGCUUAUCACCCACAAACCGACGGCCAGAGCGAGAGAACCAUACAAACUCUAGAAGAUAUGUUGAGGUCCUGCGUAAUCGAUUUUGGUAGGUCAUGGGACACACAUCUUCCCUUGGUCGAAUUCUAGUAUAAUAACAGCUACCACACUAGUAUCAAGGUUGCCCCGUUCGAUGCCCUCUAUGGCCGCAAAUGCAGGUCACCUUUGUGCUGGGCCGAAGUGGGGGACACACAGCUAGCAAAAGGACAAGCAACAUACAACACUCUGACUGGACCAGAAAUCAUAAGGGAAACUACGGAGAAGAUUGUUCAGAUUCAGGAAUGUCUAAAAGCAUCAAGGGACAGACAAAAGAGUUACACAGAUAAAAGACGGAAACCCUUGGAAUUCCAGGUCGGAGAUCGAGUCCUACUAAAAGUCUCGCCCUGGAAGGGGUUAAUACGCUUCGGGAAGCGCGGAAAACUAAACCCCAGAUACAUCGGACCCUUCGAGAUCCUUGCCAGGAUCGGUCCAGCGGCCUACAAACUUAGAUUACCUCAGGAGCUCCACAACGUACACCCUACCUUUCACGUAUCAAACCUAAAGAAGUGCUUGUGCGAUGAGACCCUUGUCAUCCCUAUAGACGAAAUCGCAAUAAAUGAAAAUCUCCAAUUUGUAGAGGAACCAGUAGAGAUCAUGGAUCGAGAAAUAAAAAGGACUAAACAAAGUCGCAUACAUAUUGUAAAGGUCCGCUGGAACGCCAAGCGAGGACCUAAAUACACCUGGGAACGCGAGGAUCAGAUGAAACAGAAAUACCCGCAUCUUUUUCCUAACCUGUAAACUCUAUAUUAGAUUAAAUUUCAGGACGAAAUUCCCUUAACGGGGGGAUGAUGUGACAACCCUAUAUUUUUUUCCAAAGCAGUGUAACGCUCAAAUGUCAAAUAUAACAAAAACUAUUUGGAACCAACUAAAUUAACCUUGAAAAUAAAGUGUUCAAAUAUCUAAGUUGGGAUGCAUCAAAUAUUAGAUAACGUGUCAAGGUUUCCAAAAACAUAAAGAACGUUCAAAACCGGGUUAUAUUGAAGAAAUUAUAACCACUCGUAUAUUUACGACACGCCGUUAAAACGCUAUUUAACGUAAAAAGUGAAAUUUCAAUAAAAUGCAUUUUGCCUUAAGUAUCUAAACAAAAGAUGUAGAGUCCGCUAAACUGUAAACAUACAUAAAAAAGAUCGCCCAAUUUGGACCUCGUAUGAAGAAGUUACGAAUUUUCAAAGUUUCGUAACAGUAGUAGAGGGCUAAAAACUCGAAUUGAAGAUCGAGUGUUAAUUAGCUAACGCAACCUAAAUGAGAGUUGAAGAUCUCCACAAUAGGAGCAAAUUGAUAAAAAGACAAACGAAAACCGACGUCGAAUAAAGAAACUAUGAAUUUUUAACGGACUUUAGGAGUCCCGGCCUAUUAAAAAUAUAUCAUUAAAAAUAAAGUCAAAACUAGCCGACGGAGUCUAAAUGAAAGUUGUAGAGCAUAAUCUCACCUACGCGUGGAUAUAAAGAACGCGAAAAACGGAGCCCGUACGCGAAAGUUACGGAAUUUAGAAGACGGGAGCCGGGAUUACGCCCCGCGUAAUAUGGGAGUACGCCCCGCGUACUAGACCCAGAGUCGAGUCCCAUCGGCUGCACCUCUACGCUUAGCUAGACCGGAGUCGUAAGCCAUGACGCAUUGUUACGCCCCGCGUAACCGAAGUACGCCCCGCGUACCGAGUACGCCCAGCGUACUCCGGUAGUACGCCCCGCGUACGAGGAGUUUCCAACCUAUAAAUAGAAGGUUUGAGCCUCGGGUUUUUGCACACAUUCUCAAAUCCUCAGUCACUCUCCCAUACUUCUAAGCCCCAGAGAUCAUCCUGACGCCCUCGGUUUCCGCACUCGAGCCCCCGACGAAAGAUCUACACUGCAGAGAUCCCCGAAGAGCCCGAAGACGCAACUUUCCGCGGUCGAAGUUCUGCUCAACUCUAGCCUCUCUCUCUUCAAACCAAACGAGUGAGUUCAUACCCCUACUUUUCAAUUCUUUUCAUGUUUUAGGGGG